UACGGAGGUUGCAAGCGUUGUUCGGAAUGACUGGGCGUAAAGGGAGCGCAGGCGGUUCGUUAAGUCUGGAGUGAAAGCCCGGGGCUCAACCCCGGAGGGUCUUCGGAUACUGACGGACUCGAGUACGGAAGAGGAGAGUGGAAUUCCAGGUGUAGCGGUGAAAUGCGUAGAUAUCUGGAGGAACACCGGUGGCGAAAGCGGCUCUCUGGUCCGAUACUGACGCUCAGGCUCGAAAGCGUGGGGAGCAAACGGG
rnacentral:rRNA from 1 species